UAGAGAUGCUGCUAUCGCUGACUGAAGACACGUGAGUCCGCUCAGAGAUGACUAGGUGAAUUGCUUUAAGGAACCAUGUGCUGAAGGACGUCGGGACACAACGCUCUGUUAGGAUGUGGCAUUGGAGUAUAAGGUUUUAUAGACGACCUUGUUUGAACCAAAGUGAAUUUAUUAUUUAUUUAGAAAAGUUUUAUGAUGAUGUUAGAAAGGUGAAUGUGAGUCUGCUACCCUCUUGAAAAACUUGUAUUUAAAUAUGUUUUAAAAACUUGAAUUAAGUUUAAUUUUUUUAAUUA